AUCUGAUCAACCAUAAAGCAUCUUACAUAACAGGAUGUAGGUACAUUUCAUUCUUCUAUUGUGAUUAGACACAGGAUCAUCUCAUUAUACAGCUGAGUGAAACCAGAAGAGGCUCUUCACAUUGUUAUACAACUCACAGUUGGAACCCUUUUUUUUCCUCUUGUUUCCAAAAAUAUGUGUAAGCACACUACAGACGACCUGGAAAACCUCUCUGCAGUCAUCACACGGUUUCCCUGGAGCUUCCUGUUUAGGAAAAUUAGCACAAACAGACAAUAAGAAGAAAACAUCAGUCUCGUUAGUACGAACGACACAAAUCCCUAUCUGGGCUGCAAGUUAUUGCUCUAUUAUCUACUGUCUAAUAUGAUUUCUUCCUGUCAGUGAGUUGGAUCUUCAGAAAUUUUUGUGCCUGUUCCCAGAAUGUCACAGCCAUUUGCAACAUGGAGUGAGCAUCCCUGGUUGCUUCUUGGUUUUCUCAGUGUUUUGGAAGCUGCAUUAGCAAGAAAUAACUUCAGUGAAUUGAGAAAACAAAAGUGUAAGAGUUAAGAACAAAGAGACUCUUUUGAAAAGAAAACAGAACAAAGGGGAAAAAAAAAAGCCAAGACUUUUACCAACUCUUUUCUUAAACUAAAGAAAAGCUGGU
rnacentral:lncRNA from 1 species